UGCAGAUUCUGACAACAACGAG
rnacentral:snRNA from 1 species